GCCUACCAAAUACUAAAUUAUAGU
rnacentral:snRNA from 1 species